rnacentral:rRNA from 1 species
UACGUAGGGUGCGAGCGUUAAUCGGAAUUACUGGGCGUAAAGCGUGCGCAGGCGGCUAUGCAAGACAGAUGUGAAAUCCCCGGGCUCAACCUGGGAACUGCAUUUGUGACUGCAUGGCUAGAGUACGGUAGAGGGGGAUGGAAUUCCGCGUGUAGCAGUGAAAUGCGUAGAUAUGCGGAGGAACACCGAUGGCGAAGGCAAUCCCCUGGGCCUGCACUGACGCUCAUGCACGAAAGCGUGGGGAGCAAACAGG